UGGGGAAUAUUGCGCAAUGGUGGAAACCCUGACGCAGCGACGCCGCGUGCGGGAUGAAGGCCUUCGGGUUGUAAACCGCUUUUGAUUGGGAGCAAGCUUUCGGGUGAGUGUACCUUUCGAAUAAGCGCCGGCUAACUACGUGCCAGCAGCCGCGGUAAUACGUAGGGCGCAAGCGUUAUCCGGAAUUAUUGGGCGUAAAGAGCUUGUAGGCGGUUCAUCCCGUCUGGUGUGAAAGCACAUCGCUUAACGGUGGGUUUGCGCCGGAUACGGGCGUGGUGGAGUGCAGUAGGGAAGACUGGAAUUCUAGGUGUACCGGUGGGAUGUGUAGAUAUCGGGAAGAACACCAAUGGCGGAGGCAUGUCUCUGGGCUGUUACUGACGCUGAGAAGCGAAAGCGUGGGGAGCGAACAGG
rnacentral:rRNA from 1 species